GCGUGGGUAAUCUGCCCUUUCGUCUGGAACAACUCCGGGAAACUGGUGCUAAUUCCGGAUAAGACUACGACGGCCCUGGUCGACGUGGAAAAGGUGGCCUCUCCUUGGAAGCUAUCGCGAGAGGAUGAGCCCGCGUUCCAUUAGCUUGUUGGUGGGGUAAAGGCCUACCAAGGCUCCGAUGGAUAGCUGGUCUGAGAGGAUGAUCAGCCACACUGGGACUGAGACACGGCCCAGACUCCUACGGGAGGCAGCAGUCGGGAAUUUUGUCCAAUGGGGGAAACCCUGAGACAGCAACGCCGC
rnacentral:rRNA from 1 species